GGAUCAUUACUGAGUUUACGCUCUACAACCCUUUGUGAACAUACCUAUAACUGUUGCUUCGGCGGGUAGGGUCUCCGUGACCCUCCCGGCCUCCCGCCCCCGGGCGGGUCGGCGCCCGCCGGAGGAUAACCAAACUCUGAUUUAACGACGUUUCUUCUGAGUGGUACAAGCAAAUAAUCAAAACUUUUAACAACGGAUCUCUUGGUUCUGGCAUCGAUGAAGAACGCAGCGAAAUGCGAUAAGUAAUGUGAAUUGCAGAAUUCAGUGAAUCAUCGAAUCUUUGAACGCACAUUGCGCCCGCCAGCAUUCUGGCGGGCAUGCCUGUUCGAGCGUCAUUUCAACCCUCAAGCUCUGCUUGGUGUUGGGGCCCUACAGCUGAUGUAGGCCCUCAAAGGUAGUGGCGGACCCUCCCGGAGCCUCCUUUGCGUAGUAACUUUACGUCUCGCACUGGGAUCCGGAGGGACUCUUGCCGUAAAACCCCCAAUUUUCCAAAGGUUGACCUCGGAUCAGGUAGGAAUACCCGCUGAACUUAAGCAUAUCAAUAAGCGGAGGAAAAGAAACCAACAGGGAUUGCCUCAGUAACGGCGAGUGAAGCGGCAACAGCUCAAAUUUGAAAUCUGGCCCUAGGCCCGAGUUGUAAUUUGCAGAGGAUGCUUUUGGUGCGGUGCCUUCCAAGUUCCCUAGAACGGGACGCCAGAGAGGGUGAGAGCCCCGUACAGUUGGACACCAAGCCUUUGUAAAGCUCCUUCGACGAGUCGAGUAGUUUGGGAAUGCUGCUCAAAAUGGGAGGUAUAUUUCUUCUAAAGCUAAAUACCGGCCAGAGACCGAUAGCGCACAAGUAGAGUGAUCGAAAGAUGAAAAGCACUUUGAAAAGAGGGUUAAACAGCACGUGAAAUUGUUAAAAGGGAAGCGCUUGUGACCAGACUUGCGUCCGGUGAAUCACCCAGCUCUCGCGGCUGGGGCACUUCGCCGGCUCAGGCCAGCAUCAGCUCGCUGUCGGGGACAAAAGCUUCAGGAACGUAGCUCUCUUCGGGGAGUGUUAUAGCCUGUUGCAUAAUACCCUUCGGCGGGCUGAGGUACGCG
rnacentral:rRNA from 1 species